GUAGCGACUGUCUUGAAAGUCAAGCGAUCGUUAACAAAAACCGGGACUCUGAACAUUGACGCAACUGGGGAACGCUGCGCUAGAUUCUGCGGUGGCUGGUACGGGCAAAAAGACUUGUGGCUCUUGGCU
rnacentral:rRNA from 1 species